rnacentral:rRNA from 1 species
UACGAAGGGGGCUAGCGUUGUUCGGAUUUACUGGGCGUAAAGCGCACGUAGGCGGACUAUUAAGUCAGGUGUGAAAUCCCGGGGCUCAACCCCGGAACUGCCUUUGAUACUGGUAGUCUUGAGUUCGAGAGAGGUGAGUGGAAUUCCGAGUGUAGAGGUGAAAUUCGUAGAUAUUCGGAGGAACACCAGUGGCGAAGGCGGCUCACUGGCUCGAUACUGACGCUGAGGUGCGAAAGCGUGGGGAGCAAACAGG